AAUUAAAUAAUGUUUCUCGUGAGCCAGUCAGGGAAAAGUAUGAAACCCUUUGUAAACAAGUGUUUGAUCCUGCUCCGAGCGAGACAGGACCUUCUACAGAACCAGACAUGCCAGAAUGUUCCAACCAAGAGCAACCAGAGGGUGAACCAGAGACCUGUGAUGCUGAACCUUCCCUGAAUACCAGUAUAUUUUUGAGUCCAGGGCAAGUUGCUACCGUACCCCAGCCAGGAACUUCAGAUUCCUCCAUUAAAAAGAGAC